rnacentral:rRNA from 1 species
UACGUAGGGCGCAAGCGUUAUCCGGAAUUACUGGGCGUAAAGCGUGCGCAGGCGGUGAUGUAAGACAGGUGUGAAAGCCCCGGGCUCAACCUGGGAAUUGCAUUCGAGACUGCAUUGCUGGAGUACGGAAGAGGAAGGCGGAAUUCCCGGUGUAGCGGUGAAAUGCGUAGAUAUCGGGAGGAACAUCAGUGGCGAAGGCGGCCUUCUGGUCCAGUACUGACACUCAAGUGCGAAAGCGUGGGGAGCAAACAGG